UUGGGUGGGUCUUUAUAGAGGUUUAUGGAUUGACCACUUACUAUAUGGAGAUUAGAAUUUAAUGUGGUGAGAAACCAUAUUGUCUACUUAAAUACAUGCUAACUGCAGUUUUCCUUUAAAUACAGCACAAGAUCACACAACCAUCCUAAAAUGUUGCUUGUAUAGAAAAUGACUUUUAAAAUCUUUAUAACGUUAUUAUCCAAUCAUUGUUAUUUGUACAUAGCUUCCUUUGAGCCCUCGCUUUGGUGCCCUCAAUUUCAGUGCCAUUGUACCUAGUAGUAUAGAUAAUUGUUUACCACUAGGAUUGUGUACUCCAUCCCAUGGGUGUGUUACCUGGAAGUUGGGGGGUGGGGUUGGGGUGGGGUUGGGUGGGAGGUGGAGGUGGGUGGGAAAGCAUGGGUAAUAGUUCCAUGGGCUUGAUAUUGGCUGAGUUUGCAAUGGCAGGUGGAACCUUAACUAUUGAGGGAGUUUGCAGAUACCUCAGGAUUCGUGACAAUGCCUUUAAAGAUCCAGGAGAGAUGUUUCAGCUACUAGGAACUGCUAGCAAGUAUAGCGCGAAUGGCUCCGAGCCCAGACACUCUACAGCUGAGAGUAGACACUUGUGGGAGGACUCUGCUAUCACAGGCAUAUCAACUCUUUAAAAAAUCCAGAAACUUCAGGCCAAGCUCAUGGAUAAAAAGAAACAUCCUUAUGAGGACCUUUAUCUGAGCCUCUUGGUGCUUGAUUUGUCACUGCCAUGCAGUUACUUACUACCUGCUGUGCAGCUUGAAUCAAUCAUUCAGUUUUGUGAAUGAACUUAAAAAAUAAAAUGCAUUUAACUUGGUUUUGUGCCUUGUUUUCUUUGUCUUCCUUCAUGAUAUUUACGGUAAAUAACUUGAUGCUGCCUGUUCUUUACCAGAUGAAGUUUGAGAAUGGGAAAUAGAGGAAUUAAUGAUAGCCAGGUGUCUGGUACACCAGAAUUGGACCCUCAUUCCUUAUUAGUGUUAAGUUCUUGAGCAUAGUGGACCUCAUCCAGGAGUGAACAAGCUUUUAUUGGUCAAUUAUUUCCAGCUUCAAAAAGAGCCACAAGUAAAGGAGGUACUUCACCUUCACAAAGGUAAUAAGCCUAGAAAUGUGUUUGAAAGCAGUAGUUUAACUCUGAGCAAGUGCUUGUAUUUUUCUCUAGCCUGUUUCCAUCUUUGGUAAAAGAAAGCUUGUGAAUCCAUGGGUCCAUUAUUAACCAGAAUUACGAGUAAGGAAAUUCCCCAUUUUUUAUAUGAAAUAACCAGUUUUUGUGACCCACCCUUCCAUCUUUCACCUGAAGUACUUACUGAUGAAUAUAUGUGUCUGAGAAGUCUUUCCCACUAGUGUACCUCCAUGAGCAGUAUCUCCAGUGCCUAGAACAAUACCUGGAGCUUAUUAUGUGCCUAUUAAAUAAUUUGUUGAAUAAAUGUCUAGUCUCAAUUACCAUUUUUGUGGCUUUGAUUUGAAUGAAAAAACUUGAGUCUGCUAUCUCAAACUACCUGACCUCACAUUUUCAAGUUUUUGAGAAAGUUGACAAGUUGGACUGUCUUCAGAUCUAUUAGGAAGUUUUCGUUCACUGGAGACCAACUUUUUCUGAAUCUGUAGCCAUUAAGUUUUUAUUUCAAUCACUUCUGAUUUUUUUUUGUCUUAAAACUGUAAUGAGUAUCAAGAACUUGGAAGUAAGGUUUCUCUAGUGAAAUGGAAUAGAAAUGUUAAAUAGAAGCAAAAUACUCCAAAGAGGUAAUUUAUAUAAUCUAGUGAUCAGGAAGAUUGGGAACUGCCCCAAAUCCAAGCAACAGGACAAAGGUGUGUGGAGGGAGUUUGAAACUUAAUUGUUCUAAAAAACAUACGAGCAAAAGGCCCUAGAUCUUUAAAAAUAUAGAAGGGGAAGUAGGGGGUGGGGGAAGGGCAGCACACUAAAACAAGAAUUGGGUAAUAUCUAACAUAACCAGGGAGAUGGAUGAUUUAACCAAAAUGCACAUGGUAUGUUGCUGUGGAGCAAGUUUUACCAGUCCUGGGUGUGUGAAGUCCUCUAAAACUUGAUCAGUCACUCAGUGGUGUUCGGCUCAGACCCUGUGAACUGCAGCACGCCAGGCUUCCCUGUCUUUCACCCCUGGAAUUUGUUCAAACUCAUGUCCAUUGAGCCCGUAAUGCCAUCCAACCACCCCCUCCCCUGUCACCCCCUUCUCUUACACUCAGUCUUUUCCCAGUAUCAGGGUGAAAGUUGGGUUCCAAUCCAAUUCUCUUGUUCCAAUCAAGAAAGGCCUGUCCUGUGGGCAUUCUAGGCUUUUCAGUCCUAACACUCGGGAACCUCUUACAGAGGGUCUAGCCAGCUCCAGCAGCAAUCCUAGCUCUAUAAAUAGGGGGCCACUGAAGAAGAUGGGGCUCCUCAAAUCAUGGCCUCUGGCUCUGAGAAGGGGUUUAAAAGUGGUAGAUCACACUGCUCAGGCCCAACUCGUGUGUCCCGUCUCCUACAGUCAUAGGGGAGAGAGAGGAGCAAGCUCAGCAGAACACCCUCCCCACCACCAACAGGCAGUGAGGUCUGAGGAGCACCCCACUUCAUCACCCUCCCUUGAAAAAGAAGACCGCACAAGGCCAUUUCCAUAGAGUGCUUUAUAUACCAAAGCUCAAUCGAGACUGGAAACCUAGAAAACUGAACCACUGAAGAGAGAUUCCAGCCCUCCCCUCACAUCCUUGCCUCCAGGCAAGUCUCACUGAACACACCUCGGACCUUCCAAAUGCCGGGUUUCCAGCUGUGGUCCCCUCCUGGUCUACAGAACUCAGCUCCCACUGGGCCUCAUGGACGGGGAGGACCUUUAUCAGAAGAGAAUGAAGGAAACCCCCAUCACCAGUCCCAUCCCCUCGGGCCAGCUCAGUCUGUGGCCUCCAUCUUGGUCCCCCGGGGCACCAGGAAGAUGGCCCCAUCAGCAGCCUGGUGUAGCGAUAGUCUUCA
ensembl:lncRNA